rnacentral:rRNA from 1 species
UACGGAGGAUCCAAGCGUUAUCCGGAUUUAUUGGGCUUAAAGGGUGCGUAGGCGGAAUUGUAAGUCAGUGGUGAAAGCCCUUCGCUUAACGAAGGAACUGCCAUUGAUACUGCAAAUCUUGAGUACAUUUGAUGAGGGCGGAAUGUGUCAUGUAGCGGUGAAAUGCUUAGAUAUGACAUAGAACACCAAUUGCGAAGGCAGCUUACUUCACGAUCAUUGACACUGAGGCACGAAAGCGUGGGGAGCAAACAGG